AUUGAACGCUGGCGGCAGGCCUAACACAUGCAAGUCGAGCGGAUGAAGGGAGCUUGCUCCUGGAUUCAGCGGCGGACGGGUGAGUAAUGCCUAGGAAUCUGCCUGGUAGUGGGGGAUAACGUCCGGAAACGGGCGCUAAUACCGCAUACGUCCUGAGGGAGAAAGUGGGGGAUCUUCGGACCUCACGCUAUCAGAUGAGCCUAGGUCGGAUUAGCUAGUUGGUGGGGUAAAGGCCUACCAAGGCGACGAUCCGUAACUGGUCGGAGAGGAUGAUCAGUCACACUGGAGCUGGGACGCGGUCCAGACUCCUACGGUAGGCAGCAGUGGGGAAUAUUGGACAAUGGGCGAAAGCCUGAUCCAGCCAUGCCGCGUGUGUGAAGAAGGUCUUCGGAUUGUAAAGCACUUUAAGUUGGGAGGAAGGGCAGUAGGUUAAUACCUUGCUGUUUUGACGUUACCGACAGAAUAAGCACCGGCUAACUUCGUG
rnacentral:rRNA from 1 species